ACAUUUGUGACAUCAUAGAUAGUACGGUGCUGAAUGGAGAGAGACAAAACCUCUUUCUCUCUGGUCUCUCUGGUGGUCAGAAGCUCCUGUGCUAACGGUAUUUGGCACUUUUAUUGGUCGCCUACAGCUACACCGAGCAAUAAAAGUCUUGUGUCUGGCAUUUCUAAUUAUCAGCAAUGCCAAUAGCCAAAGGAGAGACGUGAAGACAAAUGGCAGCUGGCAGGCGAGAGGACUGUCGGGGCACGUUGGCAGCAGCGCUCACCUCGUCCUCUGCUGCCUGACCUUGAUCUCCAAGAGGUCUUUCAUCUCUCAUUUAGGAUCCCUGCAAACCUGUGGAAUUUGGGAAGCCGUGCAAGCGACGCUCCCAUGGGGUUUUCGAAGCUUCGGGGGUGCCGAAACAGAGCUCCCAGUCACGGCGACAGUGCUUUCAGGAAUGCUGAGGAAUCUCCCAACAAGGACACAAGUCAGGCUGUCAGCACAAUGUAGCCGCUGUUGCCCCUCGGAGCAAAAUGUCACCCCAGAGGAAACACCUACCGAACCUGCUCCUCAUCCCUGUAAUAAAAUCCUCAGCUGGUACUGUUCCUGCUCCGGGAGCAGCGCAGUGUUGACAGAUUAAGUGUAAGGUAUAGUCCCCAAGAAACGUGUAGGGGAAUCAUAGAGGAUGGGAGGAAGGUAGCAGGCAGAGGGCCAGAGAGGUGUAAAUGUGUAACUCUGUAAGCACGCUGUGUGAUGAUGGUAUCACUGCCUGUGUCUCUGCUGCACAGAGCGAGCACAAGAGAUUUCCUUUGUGUGUGUGUGUUUGGCAUUGAGAAACUUGGCCUCUGUUUGUCCGUGGAUUCCUCUCCUUCCGUCCUCUUCUUUCCGCUCCUCCUCCUCCUCCCAGAAAGUUCUGCUCAAAAACAUUAAAACGAUAUGGGGCAGAGGAAACAGUCAUUGAAGGAACAGUUGGACAUUUUGACAAGAUAAGCUUUUCUUUUCUUGCCGAGAGAUGAGAGGAGGAGAUCAACACCAGUCUCACGUCAGAGCGAGCAGGUGGUUAGCUUAGCAUAAGCAUAACCUGGCUCCAUUCAAAGGAAACUAACUUGGUCUACAAGCACUUCUAAAGCUCAAAACAUGUACUGACAUGUUUUAUCUUGUUUGUUUAAUCUGUACCAAAACUGAAGUGGUACCAAGAAAAACCUCCCAACAGGCUUCUACAUCUUAGAUUUUGUCCAACUCUGCAGGUAUAAUUUGUUAGUUAGUGGGCUUUAAAGGUACAGGUAUGCAGGCUAGCUGCUCCCCCCUGUUUUUUUUAGCCUUUAUGCUAAGCUAAGCUAGCAAGCUGCUGGAUCUAGGUUCAUAUAUACCGUACAGACAUGAGUGUGGCAUUAACUACACUGCCUACUUUACCCAGUAAUGGUUAAAAGCUUAUCUUCUAAGCGUGGCUUUCAAAUAGCCUUCAUUUUAAAUACCUAAUUGUCUGAAUGUGUUGAAUUCCAGCGACGUCAUAGAUCACCGUUCCCAAAGCAACAGGCAUUCCUAACAUUCGUCACACGCUCGCUGUUUGGUUAGUGAAGGCGCUAACACUUGGUUAGGUUAGACAAACACUGUGUUGCUUCAGUCAUGUCACGUAACUUCACUACGUCAACCGACUUCCUCCUUUGCUGCCAUAAUACAGCCACUAGAGGCCGCCGCCUAACACGAAACAUAAUUAUGGGUCGUACAAAACUGCUUUCACAUGUGUGGUUGUUUGAAUUUAAUUUAGAUGUGCAUUUGUGUUCUGUUAUAUUUUUAUCCCACAUGAUUUAAACUGCAGUGGUUUACUUUUACAUUUUGUGUCUCUUGUGUCACUCAUCUUUACCCCGUUUUAAAAAUUGUAAUCACCCUUUAUAACACUUUUUAAUUGUCCUGAUGUAUGAAAUGUGCAAUGCAAAUUAAGUUACAUUUCCUAAUCUUCUCAUCUAACUUUAGGCAAGCAGACAAAAUGUUGUUAGAGUCAUUUUUCAGUUUUUUGUGUAAAAUACCACAGCUCUAAUUCUAAUUUUCCAUCUAAAGGCUGCAUUUCAUUAAGCUGAAUCAAAGCUUUCCUACACAUAAUGGAAACUUUCCUGCACGUUUUUAUCAAUUUGUCAACUUGUGUAAAUUUAUGUGUACGGUAAGAAGUCAAGAUAAAAGUUAACCAUUCUCUGUUGUCC